rnacentral:rRNA from 1 species
UGGGGAAUUUUGGACAAUGGGCGAAAGCCUGAUCCAGCAAUGCCGCGUGUGUGAAGAAGGCCUUCGGGUUGUAAAGCACUUUUGUCCGGAAAGAAAUCCUUGGCUCUAAUACAGUCGGGGGAUGACGGUACCGGAAGAAUAAGCACCGGCUAACUACGUGCCAGCAGCCGCGGUAAUACGUAGGGUGCAAGCGUUAAUCGGAAUUACUGGGCGUAAAGCGUGCGCAGGCGGUUUGCUAAGACCGAUGUGAAAUCCCCGGGCUCAACCUGGGAACUGCAUUGGUGACUGGCAGGCUAGAGUAUGGCAGAGGGGGGUAGAAUUCCACGUGUAGCAGUGAAAUGCGUAGAGAUGUGGAGGAAUACCGAUGGCGAAGGCAGCCCCCUGGGGCCAAAUACUGACGCUCAUGCACGAAAGCGUGGGGAGCAAAACAGGAUUAGAUACCCUGGUAGUCCACGCCCUAAACGAUGUCAACUAGUUGUUGGGGAUUCAUUUCCUUAGUAACGUAGCUAACGCGUGAAGUUGACCGCCUGGGGAGUACGGUCGCAAGAUUAAAACUCAAAUGAAUUGACGGGGUCAUAGCUGUUUCCU